UACGUAGGGGGUAAGCGUUGUCCGGAAUGAUUGGGCGUAAAGGGCGCGUAGGCGGCCUUAUAAGUCUGGAGUGAAAGUCCCUUCUUCAAGGAGGGAAUUGCUUUGGAUACUGUAGGGCUUGAGUGCAGGAGAGGUCAGUGGAAUUCCCAGUGUAGCGGUGAAAUGCGUAGAGAUUGGGAGGAACACCAGUGGCGAAGGCGACUGACUGGACUGUAACUGACGCUGAGGCGCGAAAGUGUGGGGAGCAAAC
rnacentral:rRNA from 1 species